GCUGGUUGUUGAAGCAGCCAGGGCGACAGCAGUGCCUGCGGGGCCCGGAAGGGUGAGGGCAUGCAAACCAUCGGCCGCAGACUUUGCUGGGGGCUGAGGGCCACAAGGCUCUCAAGGUGGGUCACCGUGGCUGAGGCACCACAGCAGGGUGACACACAGCUGCUCUGGGAACAUGGGAGAAGCAGCUCUUGUGCCAGGGCACAGCAUCCCACUUCCCACCACUGCCCACAGCUCCACAAGGCUCCAGUGCUCUGGGGCUGAGGAGUAAAAGGGAGCACAAUUCUCACGGAAAACAGACCCCCAAACCAACUAAAACCAAGGGGCAGAACAUGGAAGCGGCUGCGGAGCAGAGAUGUGUGCACACAGGGCAGCUGUGCCCAGGCUGGUGGUCACUGCGUGCCUGAACCCCCCACCACAGCAGGAGCACACCAGGCUGCUCGGCUCCGUGUGUGCCACCAGCACAGGAGACAAGAGGAGCAGCCAAGCUCUGCUUUUCCACAGACUCCUCCUGCUUUCAGCCCAGCCCGAAGGCACAGAGAAUUAGUUACAUGCUUGCAAAUUGUGCCCAGCCCAGGAGCACGGGACACUCGGGUUGCACAGGAGCCUUCACAUUGCUGGGAACAAGGGACAGGAAGCAAGGUUCUUGGGGAAGUUCAGAGAGUCCACAAAGAGCUAGGAGACAGCACAAAGCACUGCACAGCUGGACAGAGUGUGAGCUCAGGCAAGGAAUGCUCAGGACCAUCAGGGAUAAGAGGAGGCUUUAAAGAACAGGCCAGAAAAGCUGGGGCACCUGAGCCUAGGGUAACACCACCCCUUAAGGGGCACCUCACAGCAGUGAUGCAAACAGAGACACAUCUACAGCAAAACAGACACAGGUGGAGAAGGGAGAUGCACCAGCCAAGAUUCCUCUCAGGCCAUGCCAAUGAGUCUGGGCUGGGUCCUGGGCUCCAUGGUACCCAAGGGACCAGGAGCAAGCUGGGCAUCAGUGCCACGAUGGCAGAGGGAAAAUGGAAAGGUAAGAACAGGGACACAAAGGCUUCUACAAAGUGAGAAG
rnacentral:lncRNA from 1 species